CAAUAGCGUAUAUUUAAGUUGCUGCAGUUAAAAAGCUCGUAGUUGGAUUUCGGGUGGGAAUGGCCGGUCCGCCGUUUCGGUGUGCACUUGCUACGCCCACCUUGCUGCCGGGGACGUGCUCUUGAGUUCACGCUCGGGACACGGAGUCGGCGAGGUUACAUUGAGUAAAUUAGAGUGUUCAAAGCAGGCCUACGCUCUGAAUACAUUAGCAUGGAAUAACACGAUAGGACUCUGGCCUAUCUUGUUGGUCUGUAGGACCGGAGUAAUGAUUAAGAGGGACAGUCGGGGGCAUUCGUAUUUCAUUGUCAGAGGUGAAAUUCUUGGAUUUAUGAAAGACGAACUACUGCGAAAGCAUUUGCCAAGGAUGUUUUCAUUAA
rnacentral:rRNA from 1 species